GGAGAUGUAGCUCAGAUGGUAGAGCGCUUGCUUAGCAUGCGAGAGGUAUGGGAUCAAUACCAGCAUCUCCA
rnacentral:tRNA from 1 species